rnacentral:rRNA from 1 species
GACGAACGCUGGCGGCGUGCCUAAUACAUGCAAGUCGAACGCAGUGGGGACGGGUGAGUAACACGUGGGUACACUCCCAACAGAGGGGAUAACGCUUGGAAACAGGUGCUAAACCGAUACUGAUGGAUGGACCCGCGGUGCAUUAGCUAGUUGGUGAGGUAACGGUUCACCAAGGCCACGAUGCAUAGUCGACCUGAGAGGGUGAUCGGCCACACUGUGACUGAGACAAGGCCAAGAGUCCUACGGGAGGCAGCAGUAGGUAAUCUUCGGCAAUGGACGAAAGUCUGACCGAGCAACGCCGCGUGAGUGAAGAAGGUUUUCGGAUCGUAAAACUCUGUUGUUAGAGAAGCGGUAUCUAACCAGAAAGCCACGGCUAACUACGUGCCAGCAGCCGCGGUAAUUC